rfam:Glossina palpalis gambiensis isolate 146720 unplaced genomic scaffold Scaffold750, whole genome shotgun sequence.
AGGUUUUCGUACGUAUGCGCUAUGGAUGGCGAAUCGUGCAUGCUGCUUCUCAGAACCAGCAGUAUCUUUCGAAGAUUUUCU